UACGAAGGGGGCUAGCGUUGCUCGGAAUCACUGGGCGUAAAGCGCACGUAGGCGGCUUUUUAAGUCAGGGGUGAAAUCCUGGAGCUCAACUCCAGAACUGCCUUUGAUACUGGGAAGCUCGAGUCCGGGAGAGGUGAGUGGAACUCCGAGUGUAGAGGUGAAAUUCGUAGAUAUUCGGAGGAACACCGGUGGCGAAGGCGGCUUCCUGGACCGACACUGACGCUGAGGCGCGAAAGCUAGGGGAGCAAACGGG
rnacentral:rRNA from 1 species